GAUGAACGCUGACAGAAUGCUUAACACAUGCAAGUCUACUUGAAUUUGGGUUUUUAACUUAGAUUUGGGUGGCGGACGGGUGAGUAACGCGUAAAGAACUUGCCUCACAGCUAGGGACAACAUUUAGAAAUGAAUGCUAAUACCUAAUAUUAUGAUAAUAGGGCAUCCUAUAAUUAUGAAAGCUAUAUGCGCUGUGAGAGAGCUUUGCGUCCCAUUAGCUAGUUGGAGAGGUAACAGCUCACCAAGGCGAUGAUGGGUAGCCGGCCUGAGAGGGUGAUCGGCCACAAGGGGACUGAGACACGGCCCUUACUCCUACGGGAGGCAGCAGUGGGGAAUAUUGGACAAUGGACCGAGAGUCUGAUCCAGCAAUUCUGUGUGCACGAUGAAGUUUUUCGGAAUGUAAAGUGCUUUCAGUUGGGAAGAAAGAAAUGACGGUACCAACAGAAGAAGUGACGGCUAAAUACGUGCCAGCAGCCGCGGUAAUACGUAUGUCACGAGCGUUAUCCGGAUUUAUUGGGCGUAAAGCGCGUCUAGGUGGUUAUAUAAGUCUGAUGUGAAAAUGCAGGGCUCAACUCUGUAUUGCGUUGGAAACUGUAUAACUAGAGUACUGGAGAGGUAAGCGGAACUACAAGUGUAGAGGUGAAAUUCGUAGAUAUUUGUAGGAAUGCCGAUGGGGAAGCCAGCUUACUGGACAGAUACUGACGCUGAAGCGCGAAAGCGUGGGUAGCAAACAGG
rnacentral:rRNA from 1 species